GUUAUUGAAUGAAUAAAUGAAUGUUGUUACAUUCUAUGAACACAACUUUAAUCUCUAAAAUCUAUACUUGGGAUUGAUUUUCCUUCUUAAUAAUUUGUUGCCCUAGUAGUAUAUUUAUACUGACAUUUCUUUUCCUGAAAGCUAUAAAUACUCAUGAGGUUUAGUCCUUAAGCCAGAAAAGGAUAAUUUAAACUUCCUUAGUCUACUCUCUGCAUCCAGGUAAAAAGAAAACUUAUGACGGUUAGAUUUCUUAUUUAAAUACAGAGUUUGGGAGUCUGACCUUAUUUAAAUUAAUACAAGCAAUUGCAUUUGGCUUGACUUCCUGUGUCCCAUCACCAGGUCUUUUUCCUAUUGAGUGUGGCAUGCUGGCUGACUGCAACCUCACGAGCCCUUGAGCAUGUCUCCAGAUAAUGUCUUCAGCAUUUGAUGCACACUACUGUGUGCUGCUAAAUCCAUAAAUGUAUGAGUUUGUGAUGUGUAAAUAGCUUAAAUAAAUAAAUAAACACACCCCAGUGGAUUCUGUAUUCUUGAAGAAUACCCAGAUUAUGUGAUGUCUGAGGUGGUAGGGGGUUAGGAAUUGCUGUUUCACUUAGGAAAAUAUGUUAUUGUGUUUUUUGGUUAUGAAAAUAGCAGGCUCUUGUGGGUUUCUUUGGUGAGAAAGUCUGAAACGUUCCUUUGUGAAAUCAAGUAGAAGCGUUCACCUUUUUCCCUGUCAACCCAAGACUCAAGGCCUGGGUCCUUGGGUCUCAAAGGUGAGGGAAGGAGAGAAAAGAGAAAAAGGUUCCCAUCCUCCCUAUUUUACCAGUGCCACAGCAGGAUAUCCAAGGAACUUAGGGGCAUUAACAUCUGCUCACCACCAGGAAGUUGUAUGUGGUCCUAGAGUGCUUUAUUAUCAACCUGAGAGAAAAUUCCAUUGCAGUCAAUAGCAUUGAGGGAGGGGACAGAAGAGAUUGAGAGAAGCAUCCCUGUGGGCAGAGUCAGCAGCAGUCCUGUGCACCAUCCUGUCCCCUGCAUUCAGCAUGGGGUGCCACGCCUGGCCUUCACUCAUUAAAUCUUUCAUGUACUCAUUUGCUUAAUAUAUAUUUAUUGAGUGCUUAAUAUGUGCCAGACUUGUUCUUACUGCUGGGGUUAAAGCAAUGAAUAAAACAGACAAAAUCCCUGCUAUCAGGGAUCUUGUAUUCCAGUGGAGAAGUGGACGAAAAAUAAACAAGUAAAAUACACAGCAUGUCAAAGGGUAAUAAACGCUACGGAGCAUCAUGAAGCAGAUAGGAAAGACGGUGUUUGCUGGAAGAACAAAUGAAGUGCACUGACAAAAAAAUUAAAGCUGUCCAGUCCUAUCAUUUCAAUUAAUAUUGGGGGAAAUGUGUUCUGUUGAAGAGUAGGAAAGGAGCCUUGACUCUGAGUUUGUUCACCUUGUCAGCCUGGAGAAUUUAUGAGGCAGCACGUACUGUCUGAGACACUGCAGUGUGCUAAGACCCUGCCUAAAGCAGGGAAGGCUGUUUAGAAAUUAAUUUCUAUUCUUUGCACAGUGGCUCCUGUACCUUAAUCCACCACAGAGUUUUUUGGGUUUUUUUUUUUUGCUCAUUUUUGAAUGCAGGGAACUGUGGAUAUCAUAUCUUGAUCUGGUUUAUUGCCUCUGUAUAAGCGAUAAGUGGGUGACAAUGGAAGAGACACACUGAGACAUUUUGCCUCACAGUGCGAAUGUAGGAGGGUGCUAAAGUUAGCAAUUCUACAGACUUGACAGAAACCCGUAGAAUUUCUCCAGUUCUCACUACACCAGCCCUAGACCCCUGUAGUUGCCAUUCCAGGCAGGCUCCUAAGAAGGAGAGAAAAAGGCAGUGAAUCGGUGAGAACUGCCAGAGACUCCAGGGGUGUCCAGUAAGACACCUCCUUUGAUAAGCAUCAGGAGGAAGGGACAUGUGGGCUCCUUGUCCAUGUGUGGCCUGGGAGGAAAGUAGAGACACCAACACAGUGUCUGUUAUGACUCUUGAGAGAAGGCACAGAGAGAGGCUCAGUGGGGCUGGGGGCUGAAUUCAGGGAUAGUGUUGGUGAGGGUCAUGUCCUGCUGAGCCUUGCUUUGUUGAGGCCCUGGGUCCUGCCUUACUUGCCUAGGAGAGGGCAAGAUAGAUGAGGAAGCAGAUCCUCUGCAUGGCUUCACACAGGGACCCCUCUGCCUUCCAGCUGCCCCCAGCUGCUUCCUUCUCUCAGUUAACACCUUCUGUAUGAUGCACUUGUGCUAUAGCUCCUGUCCCCAGCCAUCCCAUUCCCCUGAGGAGUCUUGCCAACCACAGAAGGCUCACAGUACCUGCUUCCUGUUGAUGGGAUGACAGUGCUUCUUUGAGAUGAAUGAUGUAGUCCCAUAAGUAAAGCCAGCUGAGGGGAGCUUGUUUGAUUGAUAGCAAGGUUUCUGUUUCCUGCCCUAGAAGUUAAAUUCGAUAUCAUUGCUCCAUUUCCAAAUUAGAUAUACAUGGUGUAUACUCUGUGGUGAUGUUAACAGUUAAUAUCAAGAAGAAGAAUUAUUGACAUUUACAGCUGUAAUCAAAAGAACCAUCAAAGGAAGAGAUCAAUACUACUGCACAAAGACUCUGAGGAUGUUGUAAUGAUCGUUGUGUUCCUUGCAAACUCCCUCUAGGCAAAGUUGGAUAAGGGUGAUUCACCCAUGUGUAAAAGAGCAAUUCAAUGAAACACUGUCUCCAAGUUUGAACCAGUUUCCUGAUCUUUAUUGAGCUCAUCUAUCUUUUUUUUUUUUUCCUUGAAGGGUACCUAUACUGAAUUCCACAAACAAAAUAUUGUAAAAAACAAACAAAACAAAACAUAGAAAUCACCACUACAUUCUGGUUUAUGACAGCCUCAAUUUAUAGAAACUUCAAAAGAAGGAAGUAUUUGAAUUUUUGGACAUAUACUUUGGAAAUUAAAAACCAAUAAUUUUUGAAAUUUCAAAAUUGAACAGGUAAACUAAUAAUGGGAAUUAGGAAGUACAGCCAAAACAUGGAAGAGGGUCACUUGGUAAGCAAAAAAUCAAGGGCAAAGGUGUCUUGCAGUGUCUAGGGAUGGGCCCAGGACCUCGGAUCCUAUGCUAAUGGAGGAAAAAUGUGCUUAAACUUUCUUGACUUCACCAUUGUGACUGAGAAAGACUGUGAGGGAAUUUAGGUAAGGAUGGUUCAAGUUCACCUGCGCCCUGGUCUUUGCUCUUCCCACACACCUCUGUUGCAUUUUAUCUAAGUAACUACCCUGCCCACUAUUUCUGCAGGACUAUAAGUAAGUACUCAAGGAGACCACAUUACUUGGUAUUAAUGUUGUGUCAUCAUUACCCACCUGAACCACAUCGAGGUGCUCACUCUCUUUAAUUCUUUGAAAGUUACCAAGGUCUACCUCUCAGGACUUAAUACUUGAUCUUUUAUAUCAAGUCAUCUAGCUCUGGGAUCAGCCUAUAAAUCUAGGCCUUCUUACCUUAUCACUCUGCAUCAGACCCUGGAGAUUUACAAAUGAAUGACAAACAUGCUCUUGUCUCUCACAGGGCUUAUGUUGGAGCAUAAGAACCAAUCACCACUUAAAUAUUUGCAUAAUCAAUUUUUCUGUUGCAGCUCUCUGUGAUAAAUAUUCUACAGAAGUGGGAGGAUCAUGAGAGCAUAUUAGAGAAUCCAGGUUCCAGUCAGGAGGGCAGGGAAGUGACUUUUCAAUUGAGACUGAGUCUAUUAUACUUCCAGAUCCACUCUGCUUCCUACUACUCCAGGAGGUUGACCUUAAUGGACUGUAUCUACUUGGUUCCCUCACUUCCUGGUAUCCCAUUUGGUCUAGCCAAUGGGAGGCACCAGCAGGAGUCUAAAAGGAAGGAGGAGAGCGAGGUGGGUGUUCUUACCCUAAGUUCUUCCUGCCAGGCGCGGGUUGGCAGAGGCUGCCUUCCUCUGCUGGAGACUACAGCUCCUCUCUUGCAGCUGCACAUUUCAGUAAAGGCUGUUCCCCACCAUGCUUCAGGCCUAGGAGGGCAGGUAGGAGCUCUUGCCAGCCCCUGGGUGUUUCACCUUUUUUUUAUUGUUUUCCCAUAAUCCUGUGUAUUAGUUUCCCACAGCUGCCUUAAAGUAUCACAAACUGGGUGAUUUGAAGCAAUAUAAAUUUUUGUCUCACAGUUCUGGAAGCUCAAAAUCUGAAGUCAGGGUGUUGACAGGGCCAUGCUUCCUCUGAAACUUGUGGGGGAACACUUCCUUGCCUCUUGUCUCUUGCUGGCAAUCUCUGGAGUUCUUUGGCUUGGCUUGCAGUUGCUUAACUAUAGCAUCUUGCCUCACUGUCACCUGGUGUUCUCUUGUGUAUCUUUGUCUUCAGGUGACUUCCUUAUGAGAACACUAAUUAUAUUGGGUUUGGAACCACUAUACUCCCCUCUGACCACAUGGUAGCUAGUUACAUCAUCAACUACUUUAUUUCCAAAUAAGGGUCACAUUUUAAGUUAUUAAGUGUAUUUUAGUCAUCAUUUUCAUUGCUGUGACCAAAAGACUCAACAAGAACAAUAUCAAAAAGGAAAAGUUUAUUCUGGCUCAUAGUUUUAGAAGUUCAGUAUACAAAUGGUGAAUUCCACAGUCAUGGACUUGAAAUGAGGGAGAACAUCACCACGGUGGUUAUGUAUGGGCUCAGCAACAUGGACUUCCACUCAUCAAGGCUGACCUGCUGAAGGUCCGGUUUGACAGCAGCAGAGACUGACACUAAGCCUCUCAUGUAGCAUUGUCUCUCAGGGAGAUCAGCCAGCAACCUGGUGGUAGGUUGAUAUACUGGACCACUUCUAUCAUGGAAGGGGAAACAGUUUGUCCAUCCUGGAAUGAAUUUAUCUUCUCUGCACAUUAUGCUUCAGCAAAAAUCACCAUCCGUGUACUUACAGAAUGCCUUAUCCACUGUCAUCUACACAUGGCAUUGCUUCUGACAAGGAGCUCACUUCACAGCCAAAGAACUGUGGAAAUGGGCUCAUGCGCAUGGAAAUUUACAGGCCUUCCCAUGACCCCACCAUCCUGAAACAGCUGGUUUGAGAGGACAGUGGAAUGGCCUUUAGAAGAUACAGGUACAGCACCAGUUAGGUGGCAAUACUUGCAGGAGUGGGGCAAGAUUCUCUAAACCUGCAUCUACUAUAUGGUACUGUCUCUCCUAUAGCUAGGAUUCAUGCAUCCAAGAAUCAAGGGGUGGAAACAGGAAUGGUAUCACUCACCAUUACCCCUAAUGAUCCACUAGCAAGGGUUUUGUUUCCUGUCCCCUCAACCUUAUACUGUGCUAGCCUAGAAGUCUUAGUUCCAGAGGGAAAAUGCUUCUACCAGGAGGUAUGGCAAUGAUUUCAUUAAACUGGAAGUUAAGAAACCCCUCGGCCACUUUGGUUCCUCCUUCCUUUGAGUCAAUAGGCUAAAAAGGGAGUUAUGGUGUUGGCAAAGGUGGGAUUGAUCCAGAUUACCAAAGGGAAAUUGAAGGCAAGGAAGAGUAGGCCUGGAGUGCCGGAGAUCCCUUGAGUGUCUUUUUACUUCAACAUGUCCUGUUACUAAGGUCAGUGGGAAGCUACAACAACCCAAUCCAGGCAGGAUGAAAAAUGUCUCAUACCCUUUAGGAAUAAAGGUGUGGGUCAUCCCUCCAGGGAAAGAACCAAGAUCUGCUGAGGUUCUUAUUGAACACAGAGGGAAUACACAAUGGGUAGUAAAAGGAGGUAGUUAUAAAUACCAACUAUGGCCAUGUGACCAGUUACAGAAACAAGGACUGUAACUACCAGGAGUAUUUCUUUCCUAUUUUGUUAAUAAUAUCUUUGUUCCUAUAUACACAUCCAUUAACUGGACAUGUUUGUUUACUCUUAUUUUUUCAUCAUGUAAUGUAAUUUUCUAUAGUUUACUCUGAGAUUUGUUCACUGAAAGUGCUUAUGUAUUGU
rnacentral:lncRNA from 1 species